AUGCGAUGAUGAGCGAUAAUUCGAAUUCGAGAGCGUUUUCAUUGCUCGAUGUGAAUUCAAAAUAUUAUUCCUGUGCGGUUACCUGAGCAG